CGCCUAAACAUGCAAGUCGAACGCAGUAGCAAUACUGAGUGGCAAACGGGUGAGUAUAAUGUGGGAAUCUGCCUUUUGGUUUGGAAUAACACGGGGAAACUUGUGCUAAUACCGAAUAAGCCCUUACGGGGAAAGUUUUAAUGCCGAAAGAUGAGCCCGCACUUGAUUAGCUAGUUGGUAAGGUAAAAGCUUACCAAGGCAACGAUCAAUAGCUGUUCUUAGAGGAAGACCAGCCACAUUGGGACUGAGACACGGCCCAGACUCCUACGGGAGGCAGCAGUGGGGAAUCUUGCACAAUGGGGGAAACCCUGAUGCAGCGAUGCCGCGUGAGUGAAGAAGGCCCUUGGGUUGUAAAACUCUUUCGUCGGGGAAGAAA
rnacentral:rRNA from 1 species